rnacentral:tRNA from 2 species
GCCCGGGUGGUGUAGCGGCUAGCAUGCCAGGCUGUGGCCCUGGUGAACCCGGGUUCGAAUCCCGGCCCGGGCCCCA